rnacentral:misc_RNA from 1 species
UCCGGUUUGGCACCGGCAGUCUCCCUAGAGUUCCCGGCUUUACCCGCUGGCAACUAAGGACAGGGGUUGCGCUCGUUGCGCCACUUAAGGCAACACCUCACGGCACGAGCUGACGACAGCCAUGCACCACCUGUGCGGGCUCCGAGGAGCGCCGUAUCUCUACGGUUUCACCCCGCAUGUCAAGCCCAGGUAAGGUGGGGAUGACGUAGAACGGUUGGUU